rnacentral:rRNA from 1 species
UACGUAGGGUGCAAGCGUUAAUCGGAAUUACUGGGCGUAAAGCGUGCGCAGGCGGUUAUGUAAGACAGGUGUGAAAUCCCAGGGCUUAACCUUGGAACUGCAUUUGUGACUGCAUAGCUAGAGUACGGUAGAGGGGGAUGGAAUUCCGCGUGUAGCAGUGAAAUGCUUAGAGAUGACAUAGAACACCCAUUGCGAAGGCAGCUUACUACGCCUAUAUUGACGCUGAGGCACGAAAGCGUGGGGAUCAAACAGG